UACGGAAGGCAGCAGUGGGGAAUAUUGCACAAUGGGCAAAAGCCUGAUGCAGCUAUGCCGCGUGCAUGAAGAAGGCCUUAGGGUUGUAAAGUACUUUCAUCGGGGAGGAAAAACAAAACUAAUAAUUUUAUUUCUUGACGUUACCCGAAAAAGAAGCACCGGCUAACUCCGUGCCAGCAGCCGCGGUAAUACGGAGGGUGCUAGCGUUAAUCAGAAUUACUGGGCGUAAAGAGCACGUAGGUGGUUUUUUUAAGUUCAGAUGUGAAAUCCCUGGGCUUAACCUAGGAACUGCAUUUUGAAACUGAAAUACUAGAGUAUCGUAGAGGGAGGUAGAAUUCUAGGUGUAGCGGUGAAAUGCGUAGAUAUCUGGAGGAAUACCUGUGGCGAAAGCGGCCUCCUAAACGAAUACUGACACUGAGGUGCGAAAGCGUGGGGAGCAAACAGGGAUUAGAUACC
rnacentral:rRNA from 1 species